rnacentral:rRNA from 1 species
CCUACGGGAGGCUGCAGUGAGGAAUAUUGGUCAAUGGGCGGAAGCCUGAACCAGCCAAGUAGCGUGCAGGAUGACGGCCCUACGGGUUGUAAACUGCUUUUAUGCGGGGAUAAAGUUGCCCACGCGUGGGUUUUUGCAGGUACCGCAUGAAUAAGGACCGGCUAAUUCCGUGCCAGCAGCCGCGGUAAUACGGAAGGUCCGGGCGUUAUCCGGAUUUAUUGGGUUUAAAGGGAGCGCAGGCCGCCGUGCAAGCGUGCCGUGAAAAGCAGCGGCCCAACCGCUGCCCUGCGGCGCGAACUGCUUGGCUUGAGUGCGCCGGAAGCGGGCGGAAUUCGUGGGGUAGCGGUGAAAUGCUUAGAUAUCACGAAGAACCCCGAUUGCGAAGGCAGCCCGCUGUGGCGCCACUGACGCUGAGGCUCGAAGGUGCGGGUAUCGAACAGGAUUAGAUACCCCGGUAGUC